rnacentral:rRNA from 1 species
GACGAACGCUGGCGGCGUGCUUAACACAUGCAAGUCGAACGGAAAGGCCCUGCUUUUGUGGGGUGCUCGAGUGGCGAACGGGUGAGUAACACGUGAGUAACCUGCCCUUGACUUUGGGAAAACUUCAGGAAACUGGGGCUAAUACCGGAUAGGAGCUCCUGCUGCAUGGUGGGGGUUGGAAAGUUUCGGCGGUUGGGGAUGGACUCGCGGCUUAUCAGCUUGUUGGUGGGGUAGUGGCUUACCAAGGCUUUGACGGGUAGCCGGCCUGAGAGGGUGACCGGCCGCAUUGAGACUGAGAUACGGCCCAGACUCCUACGGGAGGCAGCAGUGGGGAAUAUUGCACAAUGGGCGGAAGCCUGAUGCAGCAACGCCGCGUGCGGGAUGACGGCCUUCGGGUUGUAAACCGCUUUCGCCUGUGACGAAGCGUGAGUGACGGUAAUGGGUAAAGAAGCACCGGCUAACUACGUG